rnacentral:rRNA from 1 species
UGCAAGUCGAACGGCAGCACGGGGGCAACCCUGGUGGCGAGUGGCGAACGGGUGAGUAAUACAUCGGAACGUGCCCUGUAGUGGGGGAUAACUAGUCGAAAGAUUAGCUAAUACCGCAUACGACCUGAGGGUGAAAGCGGGGGACCGCAAGGCCUCGCGCUACAGGAGCGGCCGAUGUCUGAUUAGCUAGUUGGUGGGGUAAAAGCCUACCAAGGCGACGAUCAGUAGCUGGUCUGAGAGGACGAUCAGCCACACUGGGACUGAGACACGGCCCAGACUCCUACGGGAGGCAGCAGUGGGGAAUUUUGGACAAUGGGGGCAACCCUGAUCCAGCAAUGCCGCGUGUGUGAAGAAGGCCUUCGGGUUGUAAAGCACUUUUGUCCGGAAAGAAAUGGCUCUGGUUAAUACCCGGGGUCGAUGACGGUACCGGAAGAAUAAGCACCGGCUAACUACGUGCCAGCAGCCGCGGUAAUACGUAGGGUGCGAGCGUUAAUCGGAAUUACUGGGCGUAAAGCGUGCGCAGGCGGUUUUGUAAGACAGGCGUGAAAUCCCCGAGCUCAACUUGGGAAUGGCGCUUGUGACUGCAAGGCUAGAGUAUGUCAGAGGGGGGUAGAAUUCCACGUGUAGCAGUGAAAUGCGUAGAGAUGUGGAGGAAUACCGAUGGCGAAGGCAGCCCCCUGGGACGUCACUGACGCUCAUGCACGAAAGCGUGGGGAGCAAACAGGAUUAGAUACCCUGGUAGUCCACGCCCUAAACGAUGUCAACUAGUUGUUGGGGAUUCAUUUCUUCAGUAACGUAGCUAACGCGUGAAGUUGACCGCCUGGGGAGUACGGUCGCAAGAUUAAAACUCAAAGGAAUUGACGGGGACCC